AACAUGAUACGGGUUUAUUGCGUCAACGUGAUACAGGUUUAUUGCGUCAACGUGAUACAGGUUUAUUGGGUCAACAUGAUACGGGUUUAUUGCGUCAACAUGAUACGGGUUUAUUGCGUCAACAUGAUACGGGUUUAUUGCGUCAACAUGAUACGGGUUUAUUGCGUCAACAUGAUACAGGUUUAUUGCGUCAACAUGAUACAGGUAUAUUGCGUCAACAUGAUACAGGUUUAUUGCGUCAACAUG